UUAACCCUUUAACAACACAUGUUUCAUAUAUGAUGCAUGAGUUUUGGUGCUCUCUACAUGAUCAAUGUGAUAUUUUUUUUUCUUGAAAAACCUGAUGUAUACAAUUAGAUACAUGCAAUACACAGAUAAUCCACCAGAGGGGAGGAAUUUGUUCACUAGAGGG